UCUGGAAGAGGAGAAGCAUCGCCCUCCGACCAUGCCGCUGGCGGCCGAGGACAAAUAGCCCAAUCGAUCUACCUCUUCUCCUGCUGAGGUGAUGUUCAUCGUUCUUGUUUUUUCCGUGUGAUGUUCAUCGUUCCUCUUAUUUUCUUGGUUGAUGUGCUAAUCGUGUUAGUCAUCUAGAAGAUGAAUGAAACUAUGAUGGGAAAGGACAGAUGGACUGGGAUAUAUUGCCUCGCUGUGCCGCUUGGUGGCUGAGAUGCGGCAGCCCCAUGCUCUGUUCCGAUGGGCCUCCUCUGCUCGAUGUUGCUGCUGGUUGAGUUUGGUACGGUUUCCUGUUGUCGUUUGCGUCGAGCCUUGGGUCCGUCUCUCCUUCUCAUUGAGCGUACUUCUCCUGUUGCCGGCGCUUCUUCUUCUCGUCCGUCCUGCUGCUUACCCAACGUGCUUCUGCUUGCUGCCUCCGGCUGUACGAUCUCUUCUGUUGCUGUGUCAUUCGACUCAUCAAGUGUUGUCUGCAAGGCCGAAGGGAAGUUAUUAAUGCAUUUGAGCAGCUCUAUCUGAUUGUUCAUCUCCUGAACCUAUUUUAGUUGAUAUAUAAGUGUUCUCUAUUUCAGAAAGACAGAACACGAGAUUGUGCCCCCUCUUGCUCCAGUUUAUUGAAUACAUUUUGAAGAAGUGAAUGCUCUAUCCGGUACUGUCCUAUGACUCAUUUAACAGUCCGUCAAUUUGCUCACAAACCUCCUCAUGUACAGCAUACAAUGAGUAUUCUGUCACAUAUCACACAACAUCUUGAUCUUUCAGCUAAUAAUAUGCUGUAAUUUUUUAGGCGUAUCACUGUUUGCAGCUUUUGGAUUCCUUCUGUGUGUUGGGAGAUAAUGCUCUUAAUAAACUUUAGCUUUCUGCAAUGCUAGGUCGGACAAAUUCAGUACUGAAAAUCUAGACUGUUCUUUCCACUCGAUAACAACUUCUAUGCUUGCGCCACCAUGAUAUCACUACAACAUUUCCCUGGAAAAUUUUAUUAGUUGCAUGUAAACUGAAUUGAUUUACCAGUAAAAACCUGGACAACUCAUUUCAGUCCCUAACAACAAUUAUGGCAUUACCAGGAUAUGUCAUGUAUGUGCUCUGAGUCGUAGUAGGAUGCAAAAAGUACAAUAAGAGAUAGAAUGUAUGGACUAUGGCUAGCAGUAACAUUUUAUUGACUUGUGCAGUAUUUGAUACUAUCUAUUUCUGCAGGCUAUUCCUCAUGUUGCAACCUUUUCCCAUAGAAUUGAAUGGAAGAUGGAAGAAAUUGCAGGAGGAAUGGUGUUUCCAGCGUGACAUUCAAAACCAGUCAAGACUAUAAAGGGGUUGUGAAGGACGAAAUGCUAUGGAUCCAGAGUGGGAGGGGAGAGUUACCAACAAUGUAUCGAGGAUAAACCGUGACAUGGAUUCCUAAGUUCCAACUUAAAUAGCAAAAUUAUAUAGGGAGAAUGCCUGCAUUUUGAAAACUCUAUUACAUAGUUUGAAGCUAUGCUUCUUUCAAAUUUCAUUAUUAAAAGGAUCCUUAUUAUUGCCAAUUUGUCAAGCAUUUAUUGUCGAAUAACUCUUUGUUUCAAAUGAGACCUGUGGCGCAAGGGGUAAAUUUAUUAUACAUCU